rnacentral:rRNA from 1 species
AUUGAACGCUGGCGGCAGGCCUAACACAUGCAAGUCGAGCGGGAACUUCGGUUCUAGCGGCGGACGGGUGCGUCAUGCGUAGGAAGCUACCCGACCGAGGGGGAUACCAGUUGGAAACGACUGUUAAUACCGCCUAAUGUCUACGGGCCAAAGUGUGGUACCUUCGGGCCACAUCCUGUCGGAUGCGCCUACGUGUGAUGAGCUAGUUGGUGAGAUAAUGGCUCACCAAGGCGACGAUCCCUAGCUGGUUUGAGAGGAGGAUCAGCCACACUGGAACUGAGACACGGUCCAGACUCCUACGGGAGGCAGCAGUGGGGAAUAUUGGACAAUGGGCGCAAGCCUGAUCCAGCCAUGCCGCGUGUGUGAAGAAGGCCUUCGGGUUGUAAAGCACUUUCAGUAGGGAGGAAGAGCUGAGUGUUAAUAGUACUCAGCUUUUACGUUACCUACGGAAGAAGCACCGGCUAACUCUGUGCCAGCCGCCGCGGUAACAC